UUUGUGAAUCUUCCAACAGGUCCA
rnacentral:siRNA from 1 species